rnacentral:lncRNA from 1 species
UGGUAUUUCUGGAUCCUUACCAAGGCAGUGAUGGUAUAUGCCUUCUCUCAAAAUAUGUGGUAUUUGUGGUAUAAGGCAUAGUGACAUUGCCUUCUCUCUCACCCUACUCUAAUAAGGCUUUAAUAUCUGGAGCUCAUAGGUGGGAGAUAAAGUAUACAUACUUACAAGACAUUUAUUGUAUAGUCAAACCAUGGAUCCAAAGAAACAAAUCAAUAAGCCAAAUCAAGAUGUGCAUGUGUGACGAAUGAAUGGUGUAUAGUGAUGAUGGUGAUAACAAUGGUGAAAGUCUAAUUCUACUUUUGCUCUUAUGAGGGGAUACAUACCUUCCUUGCUUUUUGAAACUUUAUGAGGAGAAUGAGAUGCUCUUCUUUUUCUUUCCUCUCAGGUGGAUAUCUUGUACCCCUAAUUCUACUGUCGGACACUUGUCCAUUUUUACCUCUCGUCUCCCUUUUUCUUUCUUUCGAGGUUCCGGGCACUUGCCCCUUUUUAUUUCCUCAUUUAUUAUUAUAUUUUUUUUCUUUUCUACUCUUUUCUUUUUUUUUCAGAGCACUCAUCUUCUGAAAUAAUGUAGCAAGUGAAAGUAACCAAAAUAACUGGAGCAUUUAUUUCACAGGGAAUAACAGGGAUAGGAAAAUGUUUUUGGCUAUUCUCUCCCGGAUUAGGAGUAGAAUGAUUUUGGGUGAAACUGGAGAUGGAAAUGGAUGGAUAUAUGUGGAUGGUACUUCCGGAGUAGAAGUAGCAUAUAUGAGUGAACGUGCAAGUGAAUCUUGAUUUAACUACAUGACAAGCUCCUAAGGGUCUACACAGCUUGACCACACUCAAUGCUCAUAAGCAGUAAAUAGUAAAUGUGUGGCUCAAAGUCUAGCAAGCAUGUAUAUAUGGCUGUGGUAGGAAUUUAAACUCUCAUCAUACAGGAACUCAUCAUGCAAUAUUUUUAAAGAUUUUUCAAAGAUAAAAUUCUCCAGAAUUCUAGCAUCUCUAGGAACAGAUAAACAGCAGCUCAACCUUCCCAUAUCAUAUCCGUUAACAACUUAGAUUUCAGAUCAAGUAUUCAUUCCACAAGUUUAGAUCUAGAGCAAGCUUUAAAUUAUAACAGUUAUGUCUAAACUUGAGAGAGAACUUCAAAUUUGCAAAUUAGGCAGAGCAACUAUUCAUCAUAUCCAUGCUAGAGUUUUAUUAUUAAGAUUCAGAUUAGCAUAGCCACUUUAUUUAUUUAUUAAACACACUAAGCAAAAGAUAUAUAUAUAAGCACAAAAUCUUUAUUUGGUUUUUCAUAGUUUAUGUAUUUUAAUAUUCUAAUAUAAUAUAAGUAUAAAGAUAAUUAGAAAUACUUAGCGAGAUAAAUGGGGGUGCUCUCCCCCAAGCUGAAUUUUGACGUAAUUUCUCUUGAUGUAGCUAGCAGGUGGCAGAGGUGUAUUUGAAAGUUAGCAGCAUUCUGACAGCGAUUAGAAUGUCCUCCGUCUGCUAGUCUUCUUGAUUCUUAAAUUCUGUGGAGCUCAAAUAGACAGCAAAGCUUGUGGAACUAAUUAAGUGUUAGCAUAAAUAUCUAGCCUUCAUCAUGUUGAGCUUCCUCAAUAAAUAUUACUCCCUGUUUUUAUAUUUUUAAUUUAUAAAGUAGAAAAGAAAUAUUUAUUUUAUUUUUAUGCCACCACAGUGAAGGUACUUAUGGGUUUUAUGCCACUCGUAUACUCACAUGGGGCUUAAUAUGUUUUAAUAUUUUUAUUUUCUUUUCAAGAUAGCAUGAUUAACUAAUAAUCUAUUUAAGGAAAGUAAAUAAUUAAAGGGAAAAGGGAAUGCAGAAAGGAUAAAUAUGGAUAACUACCAAUCUUACCUUUCGGCGAGGGUUCAAUGUUUUAAGUCUUCUUGACAAGACUUCUCACCGUGUUCAUUCUUCAGGUGCGUCAUUUGAUUCAGGUGCGGACCUUGACGUCUGCACCUUUUAAUACGGUGUCACCCAUGUUCUUCGUUUGCCCAGCAGUUCGAAGUGCGGUGUUAGCAGUAUCUUGCUCAGUGUAUUUGUGCUCGUAGUGUACCUGCUCAUAGAGACAAGGCAGAGAUCAAGUGCAUGGGCCCUGUUGGUGAAAAACACCAAGAGAACCAAAAGUGUAUUUGUUCUUCUCUAACCUUAAGCAUAGUGAGCAAGACAAAGUUGAUGGAUGAUAAGUUCAUGAGUGUAGCACUUAUAACAUUUGUCAGAUCAGAUCGCUCAACCUUAUGGAAAGAUAAUCUAUCUAUGUAUAUGUCUUUUUCUUUAUAUCUCUCAAAGAUUGAAUGUGUAACAUUUUAGCUCAUCAUGGAGGUAGUACUAGGAACAAAGAUUAAAGGACGACACAUGCUGAAUCAGUUGGGUUGGUUAAUUUGGAGUUAUAAAUCAUACAUAUUUGUCUCUUUAUUUAUGUGAACUCCAGAACCAAGGAGAAGCUUAUAAAAGUGAUAGUCAGAG